AGUGAACGCUGGCGGUAGGCCUAACACAUGCAAGUCGAACGGCAGCACAGUAAGAGCUUGCUCUUACGGGUGGCGAGUGGCGGACGGGUGAGGAAUACAUCGGAAUCUACUUUUUCGUGGGGGAUAACGUAGGGAAACUUACGCUAAUACCGCAUACGACCUACGGGUGAAAGCAGGGGAUCUACGGACCUUGCGCGAUUGAAUGAGCCGAUGUCGGAUUAGCUAGUUGGCGGGGUAAAGGCCCACCAAGGCGACGAUCCGUAGCUGGUCUGAGAGGAUGAUCGGCCACACUGGAACUGAGACACGGUCCAGACUCCUACGGGAGGCAGCAGUGGGGAAUAUUGGACAAUGGGCGCAAGCCUGAUCCAGCCAUACCGCGUGGGUGAAGAAGGCCUUCGGGUUGGAAAGCCCUUUUGUUGGGAAAGAAAAGCAGCAGGUUAAUACCCCGCUGUUCUGACGGUACCCAAAGAAUAAGCACCGGCUAACUUCGUG
rnacentral:rRNA from 1 species